rnacentral:pre_miRNA from 1 species
AAUGGAAUUGCUGGGUCAUAUGGUAGCUCCAAGUUUCAGCUUUUGAGGUAUUUUCAGACUGUUUUCUAAAGUGACUGUACCAUUUUACAUUCCCACCAGCAAU